UAGGUUAUCAAUUAGAAAGCAUAAGGAAUGGAGCUACUAUGCAAUCCUACAAUGCAACAUGUAAGAGAUGAGAUUAAAUAUAAUCUAAGACAUAGAAAGGAGUUCGAAAGCUUCGGGAUGGCACCCCCCACCUUUUAUCGAUGUAGAGGCUUUGGAAAUUCUUCUCGGCGAACCUUACGAAAAGGCUUUAGCCUUCCUUGCCCAAGUCAAUGCUAAUUCGGCCCUAUUUUGCCGAGAACUUCACGCCGGCUCGCCGAAUGCUAAAACCGACUUCGCCCCCACGUUUUGUGACCUAGCAAUUAGGUUUCCAAGGCUUCAAAUGAGAUCAAUCUCAUACUUUCACAAAAACCUCAUUUUGGAGCCCUAGGUUUGCACCUAUAGCAAACCACCAAUAAAUCCCUAGAUUCUUGGGAUUGAUCUACUUAGAAGCAUGCUUAGGGUCUAUUUGACCCAUUCCAAAGCAUCAAAACCCAAAACCCUAAGUUCUAGAAGCUAGGGUUUAGUAGCUUACCUCUAGAGCUACUCCAAAGAGAAGAUGAGAGGGAGAUGAAGGUGUCCAAGGCCUUCCUC
rnacentral:lncRNA from 1 species